rnacentral:rRNA from 1 species
GACGAACGCUGGCGGCGUGCUUAACACAUGCAAGUCGAACGGAAAGGCCCUGCUUGCAGGGUACUCGAGUGGCGAACGGGGGAGUAACACGCGGGUGUUCUGCCCUGCACUCCGGGAUAAGCCUGGGAAACUGGGUCUAAUACCGGAUAGGAGCCAUUUUUCGUUUGGUGGUUGGAAAGUUUUUUUGGUUUAGGAUGAGCGUGCGGCCUAUCAGCUUGUUGGUGGGGUAAUGGCCUACCAAGGCGGCGACGGGUAGCCGGCCUGAGAGGGUGGACGGCCACAUUGGGACUGGGACUCGGACCAGACUCCUACGGGAAGCAGAAGUGGGGGAGGUUGCAAAAGGGGAGCGAGCCUGAUGCAGCGACGCCGCGUGGGGGAUGGCGGCCUUCGGGUUGGAAACUCCUUUCGCUAGGGACGGAGCUUUUUGUGACGGUACCUGGAGAAGAAGCACCGGCUAACUACGUG